AAAUUUGCAUUUGCGAUUCUUGCACAUGCUCGUACGAUAGCUGCUGUUUUGUGGUGGUUCACGCUUUUUUGUUCAAGAGAAAUUUGCAUACCACGGAGUAGAUACUUUGACAAUGCAAUUCCAAAAGCCUGACAAGUCGUCCCUGGCCAGUCGCCUCCCACAUGUGGCUAAACAUCAGCGGUCUCUGGUUCCAGCCGAUGUCCCUAGGACUUUUUGCGGCUUUUUCGGUUCACUUUCCGGGGCCUCACACUGGCCGCCAAACUUUCUUAAUGAGCUUCGUACGGAUUUGCGGUUUCUUCCGCCCAUCGCGAGUAACAUGGAAAUCGAUGUGUAAAACAAUAGGCGUGUCUGUGAUUGGCUGCCUUAAGCGACUGCCUUAAGCGACUGCCAGCCCUGUAGAUGGAUAUCUCGGUCCGCACUCGCAAUAAUAACAGCACUCGAGCCCAUUGUUGGCACUCGAAUUAUAUACACAUUAUCUGGGCACCGGAUCCGGGCCAGGGACGAGCUCAGUAGCCCCACAGGACACCUUCCGCCACACAGACCAACACUUACGCAAGGAGUCAGACGUUGUUAUUUUAAUAGUUUAAGUAACCAUAAUAUGUUGAGGACUUUUUAAUAAACUUGAAACAUGAGCGAGCGUGAGCCACAAGGACACCAGAGACCAGCAGGAUGUGAACUAGGACCGGCUGCAGUCGGGCAAGAUUUAUGCAAACCAAAAUGUAGCCAAAAAUUACAGUUUAAUGGAGUAGACUCGGGGAGUGUGCGUGGUCCCGGUCGUAAUGAGCAGCGAGAAACUUGCAACAAAGCCAAGUUCGCUGUAGACAAAGGACCAGAGGCCAAGUUGGAUCCCGGGCCAGGAGCAACUCCGAAUGUAUGCAGAAGUAACUUCUCUAAUUUUGCAGGAAAUAUGAAGCCAUUAAAGUGCAGCAGACGAAACAAGGCAGCAUCUUGACUACUGCGGCACUCAGAUACUUAGAAGGGGUGCCUGCGAAAAGUAGAAGGACCUGGCACAUAAGGUGCAAGAGAAGGAGGAGGAGCUGGAGCUGAAGCUGGAGCUGGAGGAUGGACGCAACACUCCGGGGCCAUGUGGCCACCCUGCAAAGUUGUCCUCGAGAGUGUGAAAAUAAAUUGUGAAAAAGUUGUAGAAGUGAAAAUGCCAACUGGUUUGCAUGCCCCUGCCCCGAUGUCCAUCCCCGGCGCAGAUUACCACUACAGGAACGCGAUCCGGGUGAAAAGGCACUAAGCGCCCAGAGCCCGAUAUACCUACAUACAUAUCUUUAAUUGCCAACUUGGCCACUGGCUGCGAGAAAAAUGACUGCUGGUAACUGCAGCGCAGGAUUCUGGUCCAGCUGGUGUCACAUGUCCGGUAUCCGGAGCUCCACUUAAUCAUUGCCCGGCCG